GAUGAACGCUGACAGAAUGCUUAACACAUGCAAGUCUACUUGAACUUCGGUUUGGGUGGCGGACGGGUGAGUAACGCGUAAAGAACUUGCCUCACAGUUAGGGACAACAUUUGGAAACGAAUGCUAAUACCUGAUAUUAUGAUUUUAGGGCAUCCUAAAAUUAUGAAAGCUAUAUGCGCUGUGAGAGAGCUUUGCGUCCCAUUAGCUAGUUGGAGAGGUAACGGCUCACCAAGGCGAUGAUGGGUAGCCGGCCUGAGAGGGUGAACGGCCACAAGGGGACUGAGAAACGGCCCUUACUCAUACUGGAGGAAACAGCGGAGAAUAUUGGCAAAUGGACCAAAAGUCUGAUCCAGCAAUUCUGUGUGCAAGAUGAUGUUUUUCGGAAUGAAAAGUGCUUUCAGUUGGGAAGAAAAAAAUGACGGUACCAACAGAAGAAGUGACGGCUAAAUACGUG
rnacentral:rRNA from 1 species